GCCUACGGGGGGCUGCAGUGGGGAAUAUUGGACAAUGGGGGCAACCCUGAUCCAGCCAUGCCGCGGGUGUGAAGAAGGCCCUCGGGUUGUAAAGCACUUUCAGUGAGGAAGAACGCCUGGUGGUUAAUACCCAUCAGGAAAGACAUCACUCACAGAAGAAGCACCGGCUAACUCCGUGCCAGCAGCCGCGGUAAUACGGAGGGUGCGAGCGUUAAUCGGAAUUACUGGGCGUAAAGCGCGCGUAGGUGGCUUGAUAAGCCGGUUGUGAAAGCCCCGGGCUCAACCUGGGAACGGCAUCCGGAACUGUCAAGCUAGAGUGCAGGAGAGGAAGGUAGAAUUCCCGGUGUAGCGGUGAAAUGCGUAGAGAUCGGGAGGAAUACCAGUGGCGAAGGCGGCCUUCUGGACUGACACUGACACUGAGGUGCGAAAGCGUGGGUAGCAAACAGGAUUAGAUACCCGAGUAGUC
rnacentral:rRNA from 1 species